rnacentral:rRNA from 1 species
GACGAACGCUGGCGGCGUGCUUAACACAUGCAAGUCGAACGAAGUGGCGAACGGGUGAGUAACGCCUAAUCAACCUGCCCUUCAGAGGGGGACACCACUUGGAAACGACUUCUAAUACCCCAUACUGAAGGCGGGGCUUGCGUCUGAUUUGCGAGUUGGCGGGGUAACGGCCCACCAAGGCGAUGAUCAGUAGACGGUCUGAGAGGAUGAACGGGCACAUUGGGACUGAGACACGGCCCAGACGCCGACGGGAGGCAGCAGUGGGGAAUCUUCCGCAAGGGACGAAAGUCUGACGGAGAAACGCCGCGGGAGAGAUGACGGCCUUCGGGUUGGAAAGCUCUGUUAAUCGGGACGCGGUACCGGAAUAGAAAGCCACGGCUAACUACGUGCCAGCAGCCGCGGUAAUUC